GACGUGCUUGCACUGAAUGAGAUUUUAACACGAAGUGAGUGGCGGACGGGUGAGUAACACGUGGGUAACCUGCCCAGAAGCAGGGGAUAACACCUGGAAACAGAUGCUAAUACCGUAUAACAGAGAAAACCGCCUGGUUUUCUUUUAAAAGAUGGCUCUGCUAUCACUUCUGGAUGGACCCGCGGCGCAUUAGCUAGUUGGUGAGGUAACGGCUCACCAAGGCGAUGAUGCGUAGCCGACCUGAGAGGGUAAUCGGCCACAUUGGGACUGAGACACGGCCCAGACUCCUACGGGAGGCAGCAGUAGGGAAUCUUCCACAAUGGACGCAAGUCUGAUGGAGCAACGCCGCGUGAGUGAAGAAGGGUUUCGGCUCGUAAAGCUCUGUUGUUAAAGAAGAACGUGGGUGAGAGUAACUGUUCACCCAGUGACGGUAUUUAACCAGAAAGCCACGGCUAACUACGUGCCAGCAGCCGCGGUAAUACGUAGGUGGCAAGCGUUAUCCGGAUUUAUUGGGCGUAAAGCGAGCGCAGGCGGUCUUUUAAGUCUAAUGUGAAAGCCUUCGGCUCAACCGAAGAAGUGCAUUGGAAACUGGGAGACUUGAGUGCAGAAGAGGACAGUGGAACUCCAUGUGUAGCGGUGAAAUGCGUAGAUAUAUGGAAGAACACCAGUGGCGAAGGCGGCUGUCUGGUCUGUAACUGACGCUGAGGCUCGAAAGCAUGGGUAGCGAACAGGAUUAGAUACCCUGGUAGUCCAUGCCGUAAACGAUGAUUACUAAGUGUUGGAGGGUUUCCGCCCUUCAGUGCUGCAGCUAACGCAUUAAGUAAUCCGCCUGGGGAGUACGACCGCAAGGUUGAAACUCAAAAGAAUUGACGGGGGCCCGCACAAGCGGUGGAGCAUGUGGUUUAAUUCGAAGCUACGCGAAGAACCUUACCAGGUCUUGACAUCUUCUGCCAACCUAAGAGAUUAGGCGUUCCCUUCGGGGACAGAAUGACAGGUGGUGCAUGGUUGUCGUCAGCUCGUGUCGUGAGAUGUUGGGUUAAGUCCCGCAACGAGCGCAACCCUUAUUACUAGUUGCCAGCAUUCAGUUGGGCACUCUAGUGAGACUGCCGGUGACAAACCGGAGGAAGGUGGGGACGACGUCAAAUCAUCAUGCCCCUUAUGACCUGGGCUACACACGUGCUACAAUGGAUGGUACAACGAGUUGCGAAACCGCGAGGUUUAGCUAAUCUCUUAAAACCAUUCUCAGUUCGGACUGUAGGCUGCAACUCGCCUACACGAAGUCGGAAUCGCUAGUAAUCGCGGAUCAGCAUGCCGCGGUGAAUACGUUCCCGGGCCUUGUACACACCGCCCGUCACACCAUGAGAGUUUGUAACACCCAAAGCCGGUGGGGUAACCUUUUAGGAGCUA
rnacentral:rRNA from 1 species